CCCGAGUGAGGAAGGCACCACCACAAAGAGCUUCGCGGAGCCACCGUGUGCCAUGUUUGCCACACACCAAUAUUAGCUCAUCAUCAAGCAGGACCAUCCACGUUGAGGGCCAAUCACCGCUUCAUCACGUUUUGGAGUCGAUCCGGUUGUCAAUCCGUGUCUUCCUCUGCUGAUAACUGAGACUCAGUAGUUGUGACUUAAGAGGCAUGAUGAAUGGAAGCGAGCUUCAAAUUUGAAAGCAUGCACUAAUCAUAGUCUCAGUUUCCCUUCUAUCUGUCCAGAGCUUAUCUGAUAUCUCCUUUGUUCCACAUUGAUUUGUUGGGGUCUUGUCUGUGAAGUUUUAAGGUUUGGGAAUCUCUCAACUUUUACACUAUCCAAUGAUUACUGCUCUGAUUAUUUUUUUUUCAUUCAUAUGUUUAAUGCCUCAUCUUUCUGUUCCUUACUGGGAUCAACAGAGGCCCCUCUAGUCUGAACUGCUAUUACCAACUAAUGGUGUCUGUUUUACAGUUCUCAUGUGAUCACUUUGUUUAAUUUUAUAUACAAAUGACAGGUUAGUAACAAGUUCGAUUUAAGACAAAGCGAAUAACUGAUCACUGUCUCCCUGAUUAAGCAAUCAAAUCAAAAGGCCAAAGUAAUGUAAUAACUCUGUUUAAGUUCAAAAAAAAUGUAAUAACUCUGUUGUCGCUACCUUUUCUUUGGCCUUGGAUUGCAUAUGUUCUGCAGUACACAUAAGUGUUCCUGCUUACUCGGCUUAAUUAACAUCAUGCUGCCUACUUCUUUUUUUAUUUUCUGUGUUUGGCCAGAUGGACUAGAAGUAACUGCUCCUACUAAGGUAAUUAUGUAUCCUCUAUUAUAAUGGAUUUGUCUAACAAUGGAACACUAGUCAAUCUUUUUUACUAUAAUCAAGUUUACAUGUAAGCCACGAUAUCGGGCCUCCUUCUAUGCUGAUGACGCGGUGAUCUUCUCGAGACCUUACAAUUUGGAUCUGAUCACUAUUAGACACCUUCUGGAUUUAUUUGGACAUGCCUCUGGUCUUAGAACUAACCUGGCCAAAAGUUUAAUUUCCCCUAUUCAUUGUACUGAUGAGGAGUUGGCACUCACGGAAAACGUCCUCUCAUGUUCUGUACAGGCCUUCCCUUGUACGCGUCUUGGCCUCCCACUCUCCAUUGGAAAACCUACUAAAGAGGUGCUGCUACCUUUAGUGGAUAAGGUGGCAGAGUAUCUCCCUGGUUGGAAGGCUUCUCUAAUGAACAGGGCUGGGCGGUUAAUCAUGGUGAAGGUUGUGCUGACUGCUGUCCCCAUUUAUCUUUUAAUAGCCUUGGACCUUCCUAAAUGGGGGAUUAAGGCUAUUGAUAAAAAGCAGCGAUGUUUCUUUAGAAAGGUCACCAACAGGCCAAUGGUGGCAAUUGCCUGGUGGCUUGAGAAAAAGUAUAGAGAUCACUUGAGUAUGGAGGCCUUUAGAUCCAUAAUCUUGAACUUGGUUGUGCACUUAAGAUUCGGUGGCUGUGGACACAAAAGACAGUUGCUGAAAGGCCUUGGGCCGGCCUUCCUAUCUCUGUCCCUCAUAAAGCCCGGGCCCUCUUCAAUGUUGCAGUUGAUGCCAUAGUCGUGAAUGGAGAGGAAAUACUUUUCUGGA